rnacentral:snRNA from 12 species
AUACUUACCUUGCUCCGAGCAGCUCCCAGAUCAAGAAACGGGGUGUUCAGUUAGGAAGGCCUGCAUUGCACAGCGCGGAGUCGAUUCCUUGCUCCAUUGUCCUUCGGGGCCAUGGGAGGCGCAAUUUUUGAUUUUGAAAGCUUCGGCUCUUUGUUUUCAU